rnacentral:rRNA from 1 species
CCUACGGGAGGCAGCAGUGGGGAAUAUUGCACAAUGGGGGAAACCCUGAAGCAGCGACGCCGCGUGGGGGAUGAAGGGCCUCGGCGUGUAAAGCCCUUUUAGUAGGGAAGAAAAUGACGGUAUCUGAAGAAUAAGCCCCGGCUAACUACGUGCCAGCAGCCGCGGUAAUACGUAGGGGGCAAGCGUUAGCCGGAUUUACUGGGCGUAAAGGGGGCGUAGGCGGCGUAGCAAGUCAGAUGUGAAAUCCUGAGGCUCAACCAUAGAACUGCAUUUGAAACUGGUAGUCUAGAGUGCAGGAGGGGUAGGUGGAAUUCCUGGUGUAGCGGUGAAAUGCGUAGAUAUCAGGAGGAACACCGAUGGCGAAGGCGGCCUGCUGGACUGCAACUGACGCUGAGGCCCGAAAGCGUGGGGAGCAAACAGGAUUAGAUACCCGGGUAGUC